CUUGCUGGAAGCUUUUUCCUAGAGGUUGAGCGGUUUGCACAAUGUCGGAAAUGGCUGAGUUGUCCGAGCUGUAUGAAGAGAGCAGUGACCUGCAGAUGGAUGUGAUGCCUGGCGAGGGUGACCUUCCGCAGAUGGAGAAUAGAACACAAUAGGACAGUGACUGCACAGUUGUGAAAAAGGAAGAGAAUCAUUAAAGAAAAAGAAAAAAGAUUUUAAGACCGUUGAAAUCAAUUAUCAAGAACGUCCUAAAACACCUAUGGCUUUGACUUUGUUAUUGAUCCAGAUUAUUUUCCUUGCAUUGGGGAAAAUAUCUUUCAUAUUUGUUUGCUGUAAAGAUGGUUUUGCAAGAAUAAGUCAUGACCAAGACAAACUGCCAAUACAAAAGCCCACUGAUACUAAUUAUAUAAUGAGAAAAAAAUGUAUCCAACUAGGACACAUAUCUUUUGAGUUAUUUGGACUGAAAGCUUAAGAAAACUUGGAAAAUUCUAUUUUGUGAUCUAGUCAAGCCACAGUUAUCAAAGGCUACAUUUUCAGUGUAAGAUAAAUGGAUGAGUAAACUCAAAUAUGUAUCACGUGUGCUUUGUAUCUUAAGAUGUGUUUCCAAGAGCAUCUGAAAUUUUGUUUGUACAUGUAUCUUGAUCAUUUAUAAAGCCACUGUGAUCUAUAAAUCAAGAAAAUCCAUUGUCAUAACCAUUUUUAAAAGUCAAAAAUUAAGACAUCCUUAAUUAAA
rnacentral:lncRNA from 1 species